CACACUGACAAGUUCUUACAAAAAUUCCAACAUUAUUGCAGACAUUGAAUGCAACACAUACCGUAACCCAGCAACUAACCCACAAUGCAUUGUGUUGAGGAGACGCGUUUGAAAAGUUAACAUUAGCAGUUCUGUACAGGCGAAAAUAGCAGCAUGUCUUUUUCUAUCCUGAAACGACAAAUCGGCGAGGAAAACCGUCGGUUUAAUCCUGCGUGGACUGACAAGUAUUUAUUUAUUUACCACCAAGUCCGAACGCCAAACCAAUGCGUUUACUCUGCAACGAGUGCUUUGCAGCGCUGAAAGAUUAUAAUGACCGAAGACACCACGUUGGAAAAACAUGCCGCGUUUCAGACAAACUUUCCCGAGGGAUGUCAUGAGAGAGCGGCUAUAAUUCAGAGUUUGACUGCAUCUUACAACCGGAGCUGUACUACAAUGAAGCGGACCUGCACAGCUCAGGAAAGGGCCACGAAAAAGAGGCCGUUCACAGACUCAGAAACUGUGAAGGACUGCAUGUUGGCUGUCGUGGAUGAAGUUUUAACGGACGAUAAAGUUAAGACGAGUGUGACAUCUGCUAACAAACAGGUCUGACACGUCAAACAUUCUCGCCACAGAUGUCUUCGAGACAUGGAUGCUCUUCCUUGUUUCAUCCAGAGAGUUGGCAGUCGUCCUUUUGACUCGUUUCACACUUUAUCCUGAUUAAACUACCCAACUGAACACAUGGCCUGUUCCUUGGAGUUUGAUAGGAGAGUGUUUAGCUGUCUGUAGAGCUGAGUAAACGUUCAUGGGGACAACACAGUGAAGAGUUCUGCAGCUGCACUUCU